GUCAGGAUGGGCAAGUGGUCUAAGGCGUCCGACUUAAGUUCUAAUCCUAUUAUGAGGGCGUGGGUUCAAAUCCCACUUCUGAAA